CGUGACAUCGUUCGCCUUCUCUCGUAGC
rnacentral:sRNA from 1 species